rnacentral:lncRNA from 1 species
AGCUGCCGAGUGAGAAGUCUGACUAUCCGGAGAUGGCGGUGAGUAUAGAGAAUUUCUGCUAGGUCUCCUGUGUUUCAGCCAUCCCAGCCCAGGCACCACGACACAUUAUCAAAGGACUAUCUUGGACCUUCUCAUCCCAGCAAACAUCCAAUGGAGAAGAAUGAAGACUCCAGGCAUAUGAUCCCACUCUAGCCAUCCCAGGAGCCCCCAGCUAUCCAAACAACUACAGCUGUGGCCAAAAACAUCGUGUAUCAGGGACAAACUCUCUGCUUAUGGCUGCUCUAAUCCUUGACCUACAGAAUCAUGAAAUUUGUGGAUACGGUCAUGAUCUUGAUUUUGGCGAUGGUUUCACAGGUCAGAUGUACGUGAUGGUUACCAUUAUAACUACAUACUAUGAAAGAUUAAUCAGUGGAAAAAAACAAGUUAAAGACACACAAAAAACUUCAGAGAAUCAACUUCUGGUCAAAAAAGCCCUCCUUUAGCCAACUCUAAACCUCAUUCAACCAAUAUUCUCUAUAGUCUUAGAAAGCAUUCAGAAGACAUAAUAUUUUUUAAGGACUUCAAGCAGCAAAUGGCAGAAGUGACAAGAAUUGAAAAUAGAGGAAAAUUUUGUUUUGUUUAAAGAAUUCUAAUUUUAAUAAUGGGAAGUAUGCAUCCAUAUUUAUGCCAGA